rnacentral:rRNA from 1 species
CCCUUCGAUGUUAUGGGCUCCACGCGCGCCUCACUGAUGCGUUCAACGAGAUUAUGACCUUGCCCGAUAGGGCUGGGUAAUCCUUUUAGAUCGCAUUCUGACGGGGAUAGAUUACUGCAGUUAUUAAUCUUCAACGAGGAGUUCCUAGUAAGCGCGAGUCAUCAGCUCGUGCUGAUUACGUCCCUGCCCUUUGCAAACACCGCCCGUCGCUCGUGCCGAUCGAGUGAUCCGGCGAAUAACUCGGACUGCAGCAGCGCUCGGUUCCUGAACGUCGCAGCGGAAAGUUUAGUGAACUUUAUUACUUAGAGGAAGGAGAAGUCGCAACA